CUAGAGGCUAAGGAGGCGUUGCAAAAGAGCAGGUAGGCAGGAUAUAUAAGGUGCCUAACGUGCUACAUCUCAUUUAAGGGCUGCUCCUAUUAUUAGGCAAAGUGAAGCAGCCACCUAAGGCAACAGAGGCUGGAGGACCGGAGAAACAGUCCCGUAGCCAGUUCAGCUAAAUCCUUGGAUGGAACUCCACGUACCACAUAUCUAUCCUGCAUCAAAUAAAGUCAAAAUCAGAAGCAGACAGACAACUCACCUGACACAGAAAUAUAUAAUGACUGGGUGGAAUUCUUACUGAGUUGCAGAUAAUUAUAUACAGGAUGCAACAUGAAGUGGAGUGCGACCAUCAUAAUCACCAGAGCUCAAGUUUCCACCCUACAAUAAAGUUGUUUAAAAUAUUCUGGAAGCCAUGGAAUAACCUCUUGGAAAAAUACAAUUCAGAUUAACUGAUGUUAAGCAAACCAUUCAUGGUCAUUAAAUAUGACAUCAACUUGAAACUUAAUGCUGACAACCCAAAUGACAAACACAACACUGUACAGUUUCCAGAUUGUACCAGCAACCCGCUAUGACUUCAAUAAUCCAAGCAUGUAAAGAAAAGGAAACUGUCUCCUGAUUGAGAUGGGACAUUAAUCAUACAAUCCAGAAUCUUCCUGUCCAGGAAACCAAACGUUCUCAGAAGCAGAACACAGUCAAACUAUGAAACUCCUAGAUUUGUUCUAGACCUUCUGCUAUGAGUGACCAAGCUGUUUCUUCUAGCAGUUGCUGCCAGUCCUUGGACAUACACAAGAGAUAAUAGUUGAAGAAACCCAAGACACUUUUUCAUUAGCAAAAGGUAUAUUUGGAAACAGGAAAAGAAAAUGAUUCCUUAAUGUCUAUGGAGACUCAAAAUCAUUAGUGUCAUGAUUGUCUCAAAGGUCCUUUUUCCAAAAGGCAACUGGACUUUCUUGAUUUUUUUGUUGAAAACGUUUUGCUUCUCAUCCAAAAAGCUUCUUCAUUUCAUGAUUCCUUACUUCAAUCUAAACUAUAACACUUAGAUGAGUCCAUUCAAAGUUGCAGUGUUUGAUCCCUAAAACACUAGAGUAAAAGCAGGCUAAAUGCUCUCCUUAACAAUGAUCAAUGUGCAUAUUAUAACUCAUGAGUUCGUUUCAGACUUGGAAGAAGCAUUAUUGAGUGAUCAAGGCCAUACUUGCCUAACCCAGUGACCUAAUGGUUAUUAUUAUUAUUAUUAUUUUAUUAGAUUUAUAAACCGCCCUUCUCCCGAAGGACUCAGGGCGGUGUACAGCCAAAGUAAAAAGAAACAAUGUACAGUUAAAAUAAAAUUAAAAAACUUAUUAUACAGUGUGGCCGAAAUUAAAAUAGUUAAAAAACUAAAAAAAAAAACCAAUUAAAACCAGAGAUAAAUUUAAAAUUUAAAACUAAACAAUUUAAGAAAGCCCCGCACGAACAAACAGAUAUGUUUUCAGUUCGCGGCGAAAAGUCCGAAGGUCAGGUAUUUGACGUAAACCAGGGGGAAGUUCAUUCCAAAGAGUGGGGGCCCCCACAGAGAAGGAUCUUCCAGCCAGCCGACAUUGUUAGGGAAUGUGGCUGUUGUCAUCCAACACAUUAGGAAGGUAUCAGUUCUGGAAGACUGGACUUGUCACUAGCCCAAUUGAGCAUUCCAAAUAAAACUAUAAUAGUGGGCCGGAAUGAACAUGGUUUCUUCAAGAGCCAACAAAGGCCUGACAUACACCUACAUGCAUUAAUGACAUGCAAUCUGACAUCUUAAUUACAUUGCAUUUGAGAUAAUGUUAUAACAUCAUGGCAUUUCGGUUUUGAUUUAAAUCUGUGAUACAAGCCACUUCAUGUUGCAUUCAACAAGUGAUGAAAUGUAGAUGUGGACAUUAAUACUUACACAAGCUGUUUGCCUUUUAGCUUUUUCUUCUUGUAUUUUUUAGUCACCUGAGAACUAUUAUGUAGUACAAUAAGGGAUUAGAAAGCUAUAUCAGGCCAGUAGAGUUUUGGAAACAUUUUCCAUCAAGAAUAUGCUUCUUCCUUAAAUCAGCUACCAUCAUUUGGAAUAUAGGGUGGCUUAACAACAGAAUCAUGUUUAGAAUAUUAACAUGCCAGAUGUUAGCAUAAACUUAAAGUAUUAUUAAACAUAUCAUCAUUCUGAAAAUAUUGUGAUGUUCUUAAUAUCAGAUGAACUGAUCUCUCAAGUUUCCAUGUCCACAGCCAUUUUUAGAGCUUCGUAGAUGUCACUACCUUAAAUGGUAAUAAAUUUACUAUUGUAGUAUAGCAAUAGCACUCAGACUUA